GCCCCCUACGGGACGCAGCAGUGAGGAAUAUUGGUCAAUGGACGAGAGUCUGAACCAGCCAAGUAGCGUGAAGGAUGACUGCCCUAUGGGUUGUAAACUUCUUUUAUAAAGGAAUAAAACGAGGCACGUGUGCCUUUUUGCAUGUACUUUAUGAAUAAGGAUCGGCUAACUCCGUGCCAGCAGCCGCGGUAAUACGGAGGAUCCGAGCGUUAUCCGGAUUUAUUGGGUUUAAAGGGUGCGUAGGCGGGCUUUUAAGUCAGCGGUAAAAAUUCGGGGCUCAACCCCGCCAGGCCGUCGAUCCUGGG
rnacentral:rRNA from 1 species